rnacentral:rRNA from 1 species
UACGUAGGGACCAAGCGUUGUUCGGAUUUACUGGGCGUAAAGGGCGCGUAGGCGGCAAUUCAAGUCAUCUGUGAAAUCUCUGGGCUUAACCCAGAACGGCCAGGUGAUACUGCUUUGCUAGAGUGCGGAAGGGGCAAUCGGAAUUCUUGGUGUAGCGGUGAAAUGCGUAGAUAUCAAGAGGAACACCUGAGGUGAAGACGGGUUGCUGGGCCGACACUGACGCUGACAGCGCGAAAGCCAGGGGAGCAAACGGG